GACGAACGCUGGCGGCGUGCUUAACACAUGCAAGUCGAACGGAAAGGCCCUGCUUUUGUGGGGUGCUCGAGUGGCGAACGGGUGAGUAACACGUGAGUAACCUGCCCUUGACUUUGGGAUAACUUCAGGAAACUGGGGCUAAUACCGGAUAGGAGCUCCUGCUGCAUGGUGGGGGUUGGAAAGUUUCGGCGGUUGGGGAUGGACUCGCGGCUUAUCAGCUUGUUGGUGGGGUAGUGGCUUACCAAGGCUUUGACGGGUAGCCGGCCUGAGAGGGUGACCGGCCACAUUGGGACUGAGAUACGGCCCAGACUCCUACGGGAGGCAGCAGUGGGGAAUAUUGCACAAUGGGCGGAAGCCUGAUGCAGCAACGCCGCGUGCGGGAUGACGGCCUUCGGGUCGUAAACCGCUUUCGCCUGUGACGAAGCGUGAGUGACGGUAAUGGGUAAAGAAGCACCGGCUAACUACGUG
rnacentral:rRNA from 1 species